rfam:Sarcophilus harrisii ctg7180002511472, whole genome shotgun sequence.
CCAACGGCUCUUUUCAGAGCCACCCACCCCGUCAGCGAAAAGGGG